UGCCUGCUGUGGAUGUCCUGAGCUUUGUUUUUGUGUUGGCUCCCGGUUUGACUGAACUACAGCAGUCAUGUGCACCACCAUCAUGGUCCUGAGCACCAUCGCUCUCCUGCUGCGACAGAUGUUCAUCAACCGCGUCAAACCACAGACAGAUGUGAACGGGACAAAGGAAAAGCCGCAUGAGAACGAUGCAACAGCUUCAGAAAAAUAAUAAUAAGAGACAUCAUUUAUCCAGCUGAAACUGUGAGCACAGAAAGAAACUCAGUCCAGCCAGGGAGGAUCUUCUCAGGGACACUUUCACAAAGUUAACGCUCAUCCUGAAAUAUUUAAGAGCAUUGUCAGAUUGAGUACAAGACGCAUGCAGCGCACACAAAAGAGAGAAUUCAGAGAGAGGAAAAGGGUUUUGUGUGACUCCACUGGACGACUCCAUUUCCAACACAGCGAGGAUUGUUUGAACUGGACACAGGAGGAAUAAUAGCAUCUGUGAAAAAGUGCUUUCAGGACAGGAUGCCAUGAACUUGCCUGUAAGUGCUGUCCGUGAACACAGAUGCAGCGCCCUGUAAAUCAUUCAUACACAACACCCGGCCAUCAGCCGCUCGCAGGACUGGACCAGCAGACCCCUUCCUCAUCCCCAACACCAUCUCCAUCCAGAAAUGUUAUUAACUGACACGAGAGAAGGAAAGAGUAUGUCACUGGAAGAGUUUUAAAUGAGUAAUAGAGGCUCGUCUGAUGAGCUCCUCGCUGGAGGAGGCAGUUCAGUGCAUGAAACAUUGAUGCCUUCACAUGUCAGCUCUCUCUGUGGAUGUGCUCUUUGGACACAAGGCUUAUGCCUCAGAGUUCCUGAUUAUUUGUGGUUGAAGAUCUGACCAGCUCAAACUCCCCUGAGAGAGAAUCAGAGAACACAGCUCAACUCGAGAGGGAAACUCAAACCACACCGUCCCGCUCCAAACAUCUGCUCUACAUGUGCUCCUGCAUUCAAUCCCAGGUGUCUUCCAAGAGCCCGAAGAGAAACCUCCGAUUCUACAGACCUACACGAGACGCAAAUAAAGUUUCAAUCUCCCAUGUGUUUAUGAUCUCAAACAAGGAAACAUCUUGUAGAGUCCAUAAACACACAGAUGGAGGUCCAGGAGAUGAUUAGGGUCUGGAUGAAAAAAAGAAAAGAAAAAAGAGUCCAUUAAGUCAACAAUAAAGGCAUAGAUAAAAUCAUUAAUAGAGCACUAUUAGAUAUUUGAUAAACUAUUAAUAUAUAGUAAAACGAUAUAGUAAAGUGAAAAAUGCUUCCUGUAAAUAAUUAAGCUCAGACCCUGAUACCAACAUUUGUAAGACAAAAUGAUUAAACACAUAUUGUUCUUUAAGAAUAUAAACAUAAGAUUGCAAAACUGCAAAGCAACUUUUGAUCCUGAACUUGUGAUUCAUAAUUCAUUUAGGCCAAAUUUGCAUGUGUAUUCUGCCAUGUUCUAAAAUGUGUACUCUUUUGGUGGAAUGUGAAAACUGUUUAUUUGAAAC